AGAGGGUCUUUUGGAUACAUUGAAGGAGUUAUUUGCGAUGUUGGACCGGUUCAAUCAGAAAACACUGCCCAGAAAUUGCUGGGUCGUGUGCUUUGAUUGAGCCGCGCCAAUAUCCCAGAGCUUCUCAUCUUGUCUUUUCUAUCUCU
rnacentral:pre_miRNA from 1 species